rnacentral:misc_RNA from 1 species
GAUGAAGAACGUAGCGAAAUGCGAUACGUAAUGUGAAUUGCAAAUUCAGUGAAUCAUCGAGUCUUUGAACGCACAUUGCGCCCCCUGGUAUUCCGGGGGGCAUGCCUGUCCGAGCGUCAUUGCUGCCCUCAAGCACGGCUUGUGUGUUGGGCCCCGUCCUCCGAUCCCGGGGGACAGGCCCGAAAGGCAGCGGCGGCACCGCGUCCGGUCCUCGAGCGUAUGGGGCUUUGUCACCCGCUCUGUAGGCCCGGCCGGCGCUUGCCGAUCAACCCAAAUUUUUAUCCAGGUUGACCUCGGAUCAGGUAGGGAUACCCGCUGAACUUAAGCAUAUCAAUAAGCGGAGGA